rnacentral:tRNA from 1 species
GCCCCCGUGACCGAACGGCUUAGGUGCCUUCCUUGCAAGGGGGUCAAGCGGGUUCGACUCCCGCCGGGGGCUCUA